rnacentral:tRNA from 1 species
GAGAAUAGCUCAACUGGUAGAGCAACGGUCUCCAAAACCGUAGGCUGGGGGUUCGAGUCCCUCUUCUCC